GUAGUACUCCCUCCGUCUGGAAAUACUUGUCAUCAAAAUGAAUAAAACGGGAUGUAUCUAGAUGUAUAUUAGUUCUAGAUACAUCUUUUUUAUCCAUUUUGAUGACAAGUAUUUUCGGACGGAGGGAGUACUUG
rnacentral:pre_miRNA from 1 species